AUCCAAAAUCAGCUGUUUAGGAGAGUCUUUCUUAAUGCUUGUCAUUUAUUACCUCAGCUGCCUGCUUUGAAGCGUCAGCAAGUCAUUGUCAGCCAGAGGCUCUGCCAGCAGAAAAACUUCUAAAUCAAGCUUCUAUUUUUGUUCUUAAUUGUGGGUAAUCACAUAUGUGGAGUGUGACUGCACACAAUACAAGUGUGCUUGCUUAGUCUUCACGGAAACUGGAGAAGUAAAAAUCUAGGGGUUUCUUGCUAUUGCUCACUUCAGCUCCAAGUGCCUCCAAACUGGACAGAGAGGAUCAAUAUCUGUUUACUAGAGGGUUGCCAAUACAUGUGUUCUGCACACAUUUAGUUCUCUGCAACCUUAUCAACAUUUCGAUUCUGUUGAAGAGCUAUUCAAAUCACUCUGAACCAACGUUCCUUUUCUUCCCCCUAAAGAUAAGCUUCCUGUGUGCUGUCUGAACUUUCUUAUUUACAGCUAUUUCUGUGAAGUCCCAUACUCAAUUCACAGCUGGCAGGGAGCAAAAACGUGUUGCUCUUAGGACUGUAAGUAUGGAGGCUAAGCCACUGGGGAGAAGAAAUGUGGUGCUUCAUCCUCCUGGCUCAAGUGCAGAACCUGAAAAGGCUAGAGCACAAUCAGAGCACUCUGUCUCUGCACCAUUUGGGAUUCAGACUUCAGGGAAGGUAGAGGAAAGAGCACGCCAAAUGAAUCCAUGGACUCGGCUGAGCAUUUACAAAUCCAGAAGCAGAAGCAAGGCUUUUUCUCCCAGAUGGGUCAGCAGGAGGAGCUGCUGCUUCCCCGUGGUCUGAAACGCUUUAGGAAACUGGAGCUUGUGUGGCUUGGACCAUUUGCUUUCACACAGAUGAAGAAGUCAUGCAAAGGACACCUCAAGAUGGAACACCGUGAGCCUACAGGGCCUGAGAGCAGUGUUUUGAUCCACAGCUACAGCAGUGACUCCGAACCAUUUGGUCACAGGUCUGGAGGUGCUGGUGUAUCAGAAUGGACCCGAUCACAUACUGUGACUGAGAUGUCGGCGCUGAGCCGAUUUAAGCUUGUUUGAAGGAUGAAAGUCACUGCUGGCUGUGCUGGGGCUGAGAAAUUACACCUGGCGAUAAUAUUAUGAUCUUUUUUUUCUUCUUUAAGAGCUCUUUGCACUCUUCCUCCAUGCUGUGCUCACGUCAGGAGCAGGGAGGAGGCAACAGAGGAAUUGCUCUGGAGUGCUAUUUUAGCCCAUUCCCACUUGCUGUCUGUUCCUCAGCAAGCAGGGUGACAUUUUUCUCCUUAACGUGACAGCUCACAUUCAGAUCAUCCCAUUUUGGUGAUGCAUGUGCUCAG
ensembl:lncRNA